UGUGAAGUUACUUAAACAACCAGGAGGUUGGCUUAGAAGCAGCCAUCCUUUAAAGAAAGCGUAAUAGCUCACUGGUCUAGUGAUUUUGCGCGGAAAAUAUAACGGGGCUAAAGUAAGUACCGAAGCUGUAGACUUAGUUUACUAAGUGGUAGGAGAGCGUUCUAUUUGCGUCGAAGGUAUACCGGUAAGGAGUGCUGGAGCGAAUAGAAGUGAGCAUGCAGGCAUGAGUAGCGAUAAUUAAUGUGAGAAUCAUUAACGCCGUAAACCCAAGGUUUCCUACGCGAUGCUCGUCAUCGUAGGGUUAGUCGGGUCCUAAGUCGAGUCCGAAAGGGGUAGACGAUGGCAAAUUGGUUAAUAUUCCAAUACCAACAUUAGUGUGCGAUGGAAGGACGCUUAGGGCUAAGGGGGCUAGCGGAUGGAAGUGCUAGUCUAAGGUCGUAGGAGGUUAUACAGGCAAAUCCGUAUAACAAUACUCCGAGAACUGAAAGGCUUUUUGAAGUCUUCGGAUGGAUAGAAGAACCCCUGAUGCCGUCGAGCCAAGAAAAGUUUCUAAGUUUAGCUAAUGUUGCCCGUACCGUAAACCGACACAGGUGGGUGGGAUGAGUAUUCUAAGGCGCGUGGAAGAACUCUCUUUAAGGAACUCUGCAAAAUAGCACCGUAUCUUC
rnacentral:rRNA from 1 species